rnacentral:rRNA from 1 species
UACGGAGGAUGCGAGCGUUAUCCGGAUUUAUUGGGUUUAAAGGGCGCGUAGGCGGCUUGGUAAGUCAGCGGUGAAAUUCAGGCGCUCAACAUCUGCCGUGCCGUUGAAACUGCCAUGCUUGAAUGCGGAUGCCGUGGGAGGAGUGUGUGGUGUAGCGGUGAAAUGCAUAGAUAUCACACAGAACACCGAUUGCGAAGGCAUCUCACGAAUCCGCGAUUGGCGCUGAGGCACGAAAGUGCGGGGAUCAAAC